CGGAGCGUAGCGCAGCCUGGUAGCGCAUCUGCUUUGGGAGCAGAGGGUCGUGAGUUCGAAUCCCACCGCUCCGA
rnacentral:tRNA from 1 species